rnacentral:rRNA from 1 species
GAUGAACGCUGGCGGCGUGCCUAAUACAUGCAAGUCGAGCGAACAGACGAGGAGCUUGCUCCUCUGACGUUAGCGGCGGACGGGUGAGUAACACGUGGAUAACCUACCUAUAAGACUGGGAUCACUUCGGGAAACCGGAGCUAAUACCGGAUAAUAUAUUGAACCGCAUGGUUCAAUAGUGAAAGACGGUUUUGCUGUCACUUAUAGAUGGAUCCGCGCCGCAUUAGCUAGUUGGUAAGGUAACGGCUUACCAAGGCAACGAUGCGUAGCCGACCUGAGAGGGUGAUCGGCCACACUGGAACUGAGACACGGUCCAGACUACUACGGGAGGCAGCAGUAGGGAAUCUUCCGCAAUGGGCGAAAGCCUGACGGAGCAACGCCGCGUGAGUGAUGAAGGUCUUCGGAUCGUAAAACUCUGUUAUUAGGGAAGAACAAAUGUGUAAGUAACUAUGCACGUCUUGACGGUACCUAAUCAGAAAGCCACGGCUAACUACGUG